CUUGAAGCUUACAGAGGUCAAGUAACUGCUCAAGGUGACACGGCCAAGACACAACAGGCUCCAGCCAAACUGCCUCUCCUAACUGCUUUCUUGUAAUGCACAUUUCCAAGAGUACUGAACACAGAAAAGGAAGUGCAAACAGAAAUAGCGAUAGAAAGCACACCAGAAGGACACCACCACACACGCAAACGCAUGCAGUGUACCAUCGUCUCUCAUACUUGUUGCAGAAGACGGGGUGUUGCAACUCAGCAACCAGUCUGCAGUGUUUAAAACAGUCAUGUUGUCCCCUGAGAACACGAACAGUAUAAGGGUUCAUUGUCUGAAUGCCUGCUCUGCGUACGUGAAGAGUCUUCAAAGCUUGCACUGGAUCCUGACCUUUUAGCCCAAAUUAUAAGUUCCCUGUAUGACUUUUACAUUUUAUUUUGUCAGGUCUCUUUUAGUUGGGUUAAAUAUAUAUACUUGACAAUUAGUGACCCCCAAGGUUUGAUUCCAGAGUUUUAAAAAUCUUAUUAUAGGUAUGCAAGUGAAGGUUUAAAUAUGAAUGUUCUUACACUAGGGAAUCAAUGCUGAACAAUCUUACAAAUUUGCAAUCCUCCAACUAAUUAGCUAAAAGUACGGAAGCGUGUUUAGACACAAAUAAAAAUUAUCAACAAGGAAAAUGUUAAUCUACAAAGGGUUUGGUGUAAAACAUCAUUAAAUACAGGCAAGUUGCAA